rnacentral:lncRNA from 1 species
UGAUUGACUUAGUUAUUAAAAGCGAUUAAUUAUAGGAUUACGGUUAGGAUUUGGAAAUCAGAAGUCAUUAUAUAGGAAUUGUAGAAGUUUAUUGGGGUGCCAGACUGUGAUAUUCAUGAGGCAGGGUAAGCUUGGUGCUACCUCUUUGCCUCUUUGUUUCUUUUUGUUUCUUUGUUGUUGAAGAAUAAUGGAUAGUUUUUGAAUAUUGACAAGUAAGUGUGUGGAAUAAAUCAAAGAUUGGUUUAUGAAGUAUUGAUUAUGUAAUUGGAGUACUGAGUGAUUGAAUUAUAUGAGGAGUUAUUGGAGGAUUAUGAUUGUUGUAUAUUGAGAGUUGUGUGUGUUUUGGACAAAGAAAGUUGGUGAUUAUAAAAAUUUUGUGAAUCCAGAUUGGUUGGAGUGAAGUCUAUUAUUUCUGGUAUUGGAUGGAAAUUAUUGUGUUUUGAGCAGUCUUUUGAGAGUGCAGGGUUGCACACUAUAGUUAUCAGUUGUUGAAGGAGUAUUGUUACUGAGAAAAAGUAUUGUAGUGUUUAAUAGUGUUUCAGUGGUUCGGAAUACAGUUAAUUGUGUGAUCCUAACAAGUAAAACUCAUGCAUUUAGUCUUUCCCUGUGUUCAAAUUUUCCUAUACAAGUUUAUUUUGAAAGGAAUUGUAGAAUAAGUAAAAUGACAAUCACAUAUUACAAAAACUUAAGACACUUUGUAAGUACAACAUAAAAUGAUGUUUUUAUAAUAAUAUAUUCAAAGAAUUAUUUUAGUUUAGAACUAUACGCUUUUAUAAUUUAAAUAUAAUUAUUUUAGUUAUUUAGUU